rnacentral:rRNA from 1 species
AGUUAGAGGUUCGAAGGCGAUCAGAUACCGCCCUAGUUCUAACCGUAAACUAUGCCUACUAGAUGUAUGAAUUAUUAGUUAUAAUAAUUUAUGCAUCUUCUCGGAAACGAAAGUCUUUCGGUUCCGGGGGAAGUAUGGUUGCAAAGCUGAAACUUAAAGGAAUUGACGGAAGGGCACCACCAGGAGUGGAGCCUGCGGCUUAAUUUGACUCAACACGGGAAAACUCACCCGGGCCGGACACUAUAAGGAUUGACAGAUUGAUAGCUCUUUCAUGAUUUAGUGGUUGGUGGUGCAUGGCCGUUCUUAGUUCGUGGAUAUGAUUUGUCUGGUUGAUUCCGAUAACGAGCGAGACUUUUAUGUUAUAUUAAAUAUUAUUAUUUUGUUUAUUUUAAUAUAAAUAAUUAAUAUUUUAAUAACAGAUUAAUAGUGUUUAACUAUUUGAGAGAGAGCGAUAACAGGUCUGUGAUGCCCUUAGAUGUCCGGGGCUGCACGCGCGCUACAAUGUAGUGAUCAUUAUGUUCCUGUUUAGAGAUAAAUGGGUAAACAUUGAAAACAUUACGUAACUGGGAAUGAAAAUUGCAAUUAUUUUUCAUGAACGAGGAAUUCCAAGUAAACGUAAGUCAUUAGC